rnacentral:rRNA from 1 species
UACGUAGGGAGCAAGCGUUGUCCGGAAUCAUUGGGCGUAAAGCGCGCGUAGGUGGCCUCAUAAGUCCGUUGUGAAAGUCAAAGGCUCAACCUUUGAAAGCCGAUGGAUACUGUGAGACUAGAGUACGGAAGAGGCGAGUGGAAUUCCUGGUGUAGCGGUGGAAUGCGCAGAUAUCAGGAGGAACACCAUAGCGAAGGCGCUCGCUGGGACGGUACUGACGCUGAGGCGCGAAAGCGUGGGGAGCGAACGG